AACGAACGCUGGCGGCAUGCCUAACACAUGCAAGUCGAACGAGACCUUCGGGUCUAGUGGCGCACGGGUGCGUAACGCGUGGGAAUCUGCCCUUGGGUUCGGAAUAACAGUUAGAAAUGACUGCUAAUACCGGAUAAUGUCUUCGGACCAAAGAUUUAUCGCCCAGGGAUGAGCCCCGCGUAGGAUUAGCUAGUUGGUGAGGUAAAGGCUCACCAAGGCGACGAUCCUUAGCUGGUCUGAGAGGAUGAUCAGCCACACUGGGACUGAGACACGGCCCAGACUCCUACGGGAGGCAGCAGUGGGGAAUAUUGGACAAUGGGCGAAAGCCUGAUCCAGCAAUGCCGCGUGAGUGAUGAAGGCCUUAGGGUUGUAAAGCUCUUUUACCCGGGAUGAUAAUGACAGUACCGGGAGAAUAAAGCCCCGGCUAACUCCGUGCCAGCAGCCGCGGUAAU
rnacentral:rRNA from 1 species